rnacentral:tRNA from 1 species
GGGGAUAUAGCUCAAGUGGUAGAGCGCAUGCCUAGCAUGCACAAGAUCCUGUGUUCAAUCCCCAGUGCCUCCU